rnacentral:rRNA from 1 species
GUGCCAGCAGCCGCGGUAAUACGGAGGUUGCAAGCGUUGUUCGGAUUUACUGGGCGUAAAGCGCGCGCAGGUGGAUGAACAAGUCGGAAGUGAAAUCUUGAGGCUCAACCUCGAGGCUGCUCCCGAAACUGUUCGUCUAGGGACUGGUAGAGGCUGGUAGAAUUCCCGGUGUAGCGGUGGAAUGCGUAGAGAUCGGGAAGAAUACCCGUGGCGAAGGCGGCCAGCUGGGCCAGGUCCGACACUGAGGCGCGAAAGCGUGGGGAGCAAACAGGAUUAGAUACCCUGGUAGUCCACGCCGUAAACGAUGGGCACUAGGCGCUGGUGGGAGCGACCCCUUCAGUGCCGUAGCUAACGCGAUAAGUGCCCCGCCUGGGGAGUACGGCCGCAAGGCUGAAACUCAAAUGAAUUGACGG